CCGGCGACCGGCGCACGGGUGAGUAACACGUAUGCGACCUGCCCCCCGCAGGGGGAUAACCGGGAGAAAUCCCGACUAAUACCGCGUAACGCCGCGGACCUGCAUGGGUCUGCGGCCAAAGGAAGCGAUUCCGGCGGGGGAUGGGCAUGCGGCGCAUUAGCUAGUCGGCGGGGUAACGGCCCACCGAGGCGACGAUGCGUAGGGGUUCUGAGAGGAAGGUCCCCCACACUGGUACUGAGACACGGACCAGACUCCUACGGGAGGCAGCAG
rnacentral:rRNA from 1 species